CACCGGCAGCUCAAGUGGUGGCCAUUAUUAUUGGGCCUAAAGCGUUCGUAGCCGGUUUGAUAAGUCUCUGGUGAAAUCCCGCAGCUUAACUGUGGGACUUGCUGGAGAUACUAUUAGACUUGAGGUCGGGAGAGGUUAGGGGUACUCCCAGGGUAGGGGUGAAAUCCUAUAAUCCUGGGAGGACCACCUGUGGCGAAGGCGCCUAACUGGAACGAACCUGACGGUGAGUAACGAAAGCCAGGGGCGCGAACCG
rnacentral:rRNA from 1 species